UAGUGUGUCGAUGAAGAGCGCAGCAAACUGUGUGAAUUAAUGUGAACUGCAUCCUGCCAUGAACAUCGACAUCUUGAUUGCACAUUGCGGCCAUGGGUUAGCCUGUGGCCACGCCUGUCCGAGAGUCGGCUUACAAACUAUCACGACGCUCAAUUGGUCGUGGCUUGAGAGUCUGCCAGCUGACGUGGUUCCCUACGCGCUACGGCGCACGAGGGUGUCAGAACAAUGGCUUCUCUCCAAUUAACCAGUAAGCACCCUUUUUCAGUUGUGUGGAUGAAGUCGUGGCUCAGUGUUCAAUUUAUAGCACGCAUCGUUCAUACUCCUGUAGACUGGUGUCUGGUUUUUUUUAUUAAGCAUGUCAUUAUGACUUGCUAUUCCUGACCUCGGAUCAGAACGUGAAUACCCGCUGAACUUAAGCAUAUCACUAAGCGGAGG
rnacentral:rRNA from 1 species